rnacentral:rRNA from 1 species
CCUACGGGAGGCAGCAGUGGGGAAUAUUGGGCAAUGGGCGCAAGCCUGACCCAGCAACGCCGCGUGAAGGAAGAAGGCUUUCGGGUUGUAAACUUCUUUUGUCAGGGAAGAGGAGAAGACGGUACCUGACGAAUAAGCCACGGCUAACUACGGGCCAGCAGCCGCGGUAAUACGCAGGUGGCAAGCGUUGUCCGGAUUUACUGGGUGUAAAGGGCGUGUAGCCGGGUUGACAAGUCAGAUGUGAAAUCCUGCGGCUUAACCGCAGAACUGCAUUUGAAACUGUUGAUCUUGAGUACUGGAGAGGCAGUCGGAAUUCCUAGUGUAGCGGUGAAAUGCGUAGAUAUUAGGAGGAACACCAGUGGCGAAGGCGGUCUGCUGGACGGCAACUGACGGUGAGGCGCGAAAGCGUGGGGAGCAAACAGGAUUAGAUACCCGGGUAGUC